GACUCUCGGCAACGGAUAUCUCGGCUCUCGCAUCGAUGAAGAACGUAGCGAAAUGCGAUACUUGGUGUGAAUUGCAGAAUCCCGUGAACCAUCGAGUCUUUGAACGCAAGUUGCGCCCGAGGCCUCCUGGUCGAGGGCACGUCUGCCUGGGUGUCA
rnacentral:rRNA from 1 species